UUGGAGAAGACGGACGGCAGUUUCGCGGGGAUGAAGAGACCAGAGAGGGAGAGAUGUUUCUAUGCAAAGCGCGGCCAGUCAGGAAACUUUAACUGAGAUUUCCACAUGGAAGAGGACUUUGCCCCCUUCUUUUCCUCAUCCUGCCAGUGCAUCAGCACCUUGGCUUUAGACUGCUUACUGCUUAUACAGUGUCACAGUACAGUAACAGUCUACAGUCAUGGCUACUGAAGCCUGGCGAUUCAUCAGACACCUCUGUGAGGAGAGCGUAGAUGUGGAAAACAGCCCAAUGACAGUGCGCAGAGCUUUUAAAAUGGCCGACCUGAUAGCAGAGUGUCAACGUGUGAGUCAGUGAUCUUGCUCUGCCUCUCUUUUUCUUUCUCUCUCUCUCCUUCUCUCCUGCUGUGUCUGUUUUUUCCCUCCUGCUCAGAGAGGAAACCUGUGUGGGCUUGCAUUGGGGGAGUCCUACACCCUGCAAGUGCGUAACGUUCACACUAAAACCAAUGAGACGUUGCAGUUUCCAGUUACCAUGCCAACUCUAGCUCCACCUCAACCCUGCUGUCUCCAUGGCGACCGUGGCUUUAGAUUGUUACUCUAGCAACAGCACCAUGGUAACAGUCUACAGCCAUGGUCGUUAGGGGCAGAUGUCAUCAGGAACAGAAAAUUUGAGGUCAAUAAGUUUUAUGUGUUUGUUAAAGAAAAACAUUGAACUUUUUUUUAAAUAG